CACAUGCUAAACCUCUGCAGAAUUCAGUGGGACUAGUUUCCUCUUCUCUGGCUUUCAUAACUUGCCCAAUCAAAUUCUGUAAUAGGGAUUUAACUUUGGUGUGUUCUCCUUUGAGACUGGAAACAUAUUACAGGCUAUUUUUCAAUUACAUAGUACAAGGUGUUUUUUAAUUCAUCUGCAUUAGAAGGUGUGAAUGGAGAACAGCCCUGAUUCUCAGGACAUCAGAAGAAGCAGCUGCUACCAUCUAGCAGUAGUAACAUCAUGUGCUUUGAGUCAAUAAUCUACUAUGUGUCUAUGUGCAUUUCAGACCCAAUCUGGAUUUCCACCCACUGAGAAUAACUCCAAGGAGGCUAAACCACCCUGGGGGCAGAUCCAGUCAGCCUCAGUCCACGGUCAUCCAUGGUGGAAAGCAGAGGGAGGGCUGCGGAUAGCGUGGCUUUUCUUUACAAGCAAAGCUAGAAACAAAAAGUUCACUGGCAGGAAUUGGAAAUUCCCGUUUGGUACACUAUAAUUUUGCUUUUGUUAGUUUUAUGCUCUAAAAAUUAUUCCUGUUCUUGUUCCACUUCCUUUUCCCCGCUCUACUUCGUCUGAAGUUCCUGCCCAUGUCUUUAAUGAUCCUAUCAUUUAAAAGGCAUCAGGAACUUUUUAAAUGUUCACCAGGGCAUAAAGCUGCCUAGCUUUGGCUGGAUGGGUUCUUGUCCUGGGUUUGGCCCAUGCUUUCUGUCAGUCUUUUGCUAUGCUGUCACCUGCUUUCAUGUCCUGCCUUUAUUUUAAAAACUGGUGCUUAAAAAAGGAGGUGACCUGUAGGGAGGGUUGCCCAUCAUAAUCCUCGGUAGGCAGAAGAACCAGAGCCUUGGUCCAUUUGCUUGAACAGCCACUGAGUAACAGAGCAAGCAGUCAGCCUCUUGGUGUGCUUUUGAGCUACAGGACCCUAGGUAGGAGCAGCAGGUUGAAGAAUCAUGUAGAAAACCAGAAAAUGCCUUCUGGGGCUGAGCAGCCAAGGGGCAGGAGAGCAACCAGGCCAAAGAGACCUGCAAAGGGCACCAGGUGAUUGCUCAAGCAGGAACUGGGUUUUCCUUUGACCACUUCCAGUUUGCCAAGGGGGCUGCUCACAGCCUGAACCUCC
ensembl:lncRNA